UGUAAGAAUUACUUACUGACUUGUUAGAUGUGCUUGAGACUAUUUUUUAUCAAAAUAUUUUCUUUUGCUUAGUUGUUUGGUUGUUUUAACAAAACAUAAUGGUUUGCAUUUCACAUUCUCAAAAUUGAAUCGUUAUCACCAAAAGUAAAUUUUAGUAAACAUAUGAAUAAACUAGCAAAUCGAUUGCUAACCGUUUAGAAAUCAUAUGGAAUAAAUUGAAAUCGAAACCGUUUAAAACCGUGAAACUGAAACCGUUUAAAAACUGUGGAAACCGAAACCAUUUACUAAAUGGUGCGGUUAUGAUUUCAGCCAAAAUAUAUGUGAACCGAGCCAAACUGAGCCGUUUAAACCAAAAUCGAGCCGAUUAACACCCUUAAAUACCCCCAAACAAAAUCUUCCUUUACUAUACGCUUUCCCUUUUCCCGACCCUUCUCAUAAGCUGAUUGGAGUGAUCGCUGCAACCUGAUCGGCCUGCAAACGGUAAGUGCUUCAAUCAGUCAUCUCCCAUUGUCUUUUUCUUUAAAAUUCUUCUUUAGAGCUACCUCAGUCCUUCCCGCAAGCGCUUCAAGUGGCGCAGAAGUGCUUAUGCUUGUGGUUGUCUGCAUCACUUCUUUUCCAGCUCCUGAUACAUUUCCCCAAAAAUCUCAACUUGAGUUCUCGCCAGCCACACCUCUCACUAGUCUCCAAUGCUGUAAUUUCUCUUUCUCUUUCUCAUUUUCCUUUUCCAUUUACUGUAACAUUUCUAUUUUUGUUUUAAGUUGUUGAGCUCCAAUCCCUUGCCAAUAGUUGGAUCAUAAUUCAGAACUUUUUGUUUCACUGUUCUGCAGUGUUAAAGCAGUCAUGGAUUCUCCUUUGCUUAGUGAACGGUUGCACUUCUCUUUUAUGUUUUCUCAGAUCAAAUAGAUUAACGAGGUGAGAGAGAGGUUAUCUGUGCAGGUAGAACUCUCUUCUCUUGCGGAUGAAUAGAGUUGCAAUGACGAAGGAAUGUCCUGUGAUUCCUUAGUUUUGGGCGGUUUUAACAUGCUCUUAUUAACGUGUAACACAAUAAUCGCUUUAUUGGUACCGAUAAAUCAUUAACACCUCUCUACCUAGUUAUGAAUUUAUUGAUAUGUUUAUUUAUUUUAAUGCAAAAUAUGGAUCAUAAAUCAUACCCAAAGUCUCUAUUUAUGUUUAUUUGAUAGAUAAAUGUAAAUUUAAACUAUACCAAAGAGAGCCAUAUUUAUUUAUUUAUUUAUUGUUAUAUGAAAUACUUCUGUGGAGUAGAACACAUUUGGUAACAAGGCGUAAGAAGUGUUGUUAGAUUAGGGAGUAAAAUGCAUUUUAUAUUGCAUGCGAGGUGUACUUUUCUGAAAAUUCUUGUCCUUUCUCCACUUCUGCCCCUGAUCGUUCCCCUCCCCCCCUCCCCCUCGCCCCUCCCCUCCCCUCUUGACUACUCCAUGAGUUGAUGCCCCUAUAUUGGUUCCCAUAACCCCCCCUUCUCCUUUCCUAUUGUUGCUCUAUGCACCUACACGGUCUAGCCCUAAUAUGGCUCCGCCAGUUCUCCCUUCCCCCCUCUCUCUUCAAUUUCAUGUAUUCAUCUCCCCUACAUAUUUAUCUACCACCACCCAUAGCAUAUGCCCCAUCUGUGACCAUUACCAUUCCCCUCUACCAUCAUCCCCAAAUCCUACUGCUCUCCCACUUUUGACGAUCCUCUCAACUCCAAACCACUCCUCUUACCUGCCUACAUGCAAUGCAGCUGCAUGCCCGUACGAAACUUCCCCAUGCCCUCUCUAUCACUUCUUCACGCACACCCUUACUGAACCAACAUGUUUCUCCCAAGCCUCUAAACACCAAUGGUGCUAUGUUGUCAUGAUCAAUAAAUUAACACCUUGUUCCAUAAUAGUACUUGGACUCUGGUUCAUUGCCGAAAUGAUAUGAAUUUGGUAGGUUGUAAGUGGGUGUAUCGUAUAAAGGGGAAGGCUGACGGCUUUGUAGAGCACUACAAAAUGUGCCUCAUUGCCAAAGGGUUUCACCAGUAGCAAGGGAUUGAUUACAGGGACACCUUUACUCUUGUUGUAAAACCAAUCACUAUUCGCACCAUUCUUGCCCUAGUGGUAGGCCAAGGGUGGCCCAAUCGGAAAUUGGGCAUUCACAAUGCUUUCAGGCAUGGUAUCCUUAAUGAAGGAGUAUAUAUGACACAAUGUUCAGGAUUUUUUGAUAGUACUCAUCCGUAACAUGAUUGCCAUCUACAUAGUUCUCUAUACAGCCAAACAGGCGCCCAAGGCAUGGUUUCAUCGAUUGUCUCAUUUUUUGUUAUAGAUUGGGUUUCAAGUUUUUCAAACGAAUGCCUCUAUAUUCAUCUAUAAGCAUGGUUCCCAUCUUAUUUAUUUUCAAGUACAAGUUAACGAUAUACUUGUUACAAGCGAUAAUCAAGAACAUGUCACCCAGCAUCUUCAGGGACUUGCUAUAGAGUUCUCUAUCAAGGAUUUGGGUCCUCUAAGCUUCUUUCAUGGUAUUGAAGUCCUUCCUCACUAAAAAGGUAUUGUGUUACAAAUAUAUACAUGAUCUUGUGCACAGGGCUGGUAUGGUUGACUACAAACCUCCCAUGGCUACCACUACAAAGCCAGCUACUUCAAGGGGCAUGUGAGGACGAUGGGUUUUGGUAUGACCUUGGCAUGAAGAGGAAGGGCAUAUACGCUUGUCCUCCAUCUCAUCUACUGGGGAAAGAGAAAUAGAGAUCAAGUAAGACUCACCACCAUACCAGAGGAAUAGGUAGUGGUUGCAACAACCCAGGUUGCCUCUGAUGUUCUGCCUUAACUCGUUGACAAGUCAAGCACUUCUCUACAAAUGGAUAAUUUCUCUCUUCAAGUUAUUCCACUAGUAAGUUGUCUUCAAGUCUUGAUACAUCCAGGGUGCACCGUAUAGGGAGUACGAUGAGCCUCGUCCAAAAUUUCUUGCUUCUGGCAUGCAAAUCCAGUCACGAAACCUUGGAGUUCCAUCGUUCUUGAUGACAUAUUCCUUCCUCUUUCCUUCUCGAAGUUCCAUUCUGAUUUUCUCUAGAUAAGGGUCUUCACUUUGGGCGGAUCUUAUUUUGUCCAUCAGAGAUGGUUGUACAGUCAAGUUGGAUAGCAUGGCUGAAAUAUCUCCUACUAUCACCUCUAGGUCGAGUUUCUUGAAGUCGUUAAUGAUGUGUCGCUACCUAGUUAGAAGUGAAACGAAGUAUCCCUGAGGACUCCUGCUUAAGGUAUCAACGAGCACAUUUUCUCUCCCUGGAUGGUAGUUGAUUGUACAGUUAUAGUCCACUGAGGCGAAUUCACAUCCAUAGGCUAAUAUCCGUAUUAUCUGGAUGGAUGACAUAGAGAAAGCACAACAAUUGGUCUCUCCCCUGUACCAUUGUCGAGCCAUUAUAGAUGCAAUAAGUACCUGGGAAAGAGGGUCUACCGCCAAUGCCUGGAAAAGAAAGGCGAUGCAUUUCAUGCAGAUCUCCCACUUUAGCUUGGAGUCCAAUCGGGUUUCCAAGGAAGUUAUAGGGAGAUAUCUCAAGGAUGUGAAUGCCAACCGCCUCAUCAAGCCCAAAUCUUCUGAUUAAUACCAUGACUACAUAGUCAAAGAGUAAGUCCACUUGAGGUUGACUUCCUCGGGUGAAUUUUUUGUACUUUUCAUUUUGACUCUUUAUUUUGAUUCCUUAUUCUUUGUUCUGAUCCUCACAUGAUUUUUUACAACCUAGGGCCCUCAUUGAAUUUAAGGCCAUCAUGGUGGGGAGGGGGCAUCCAUUUUCGAACUAUCCCUGUGUAAAUACCCAAUUUUGUCAUCCACCCCUAUCUAUGAGGAUUUACAAGAAAUGGAUGCGAUCUACGCUUUAAAUUGGUG